GGACCUGACUGCUAUCGGAUUGAUACUAAGCCAUGCGAGUCAUUGUAGCAAUACAAGGCAUACGGCUCAGUAACGCGUAGUCAACCUAACCUAUGGACGCGAAUAACCUCGGGAAACUGAGAAUAAUGCCCGAUAGAACAUUAUGCCUGGAAUGGUUUAUGUUCCAAAUGAUUUAUCGCCGUAGGAUGGGACUGCGGCCUAUCAGUUUGUUGGUGAGGUAAUGGCCCACCAAGACUAUUACAGGUACGGGCUCUGAGAGGAGUAGCCCGGAGAUGGGUACUGAGACACGGACCCAGGCCCUAUGGGGCGCAGCAGGCGAGAAAACUUUGCAAUGUGCGAAAGCACGACAAGGUUAAUCCGAGUGGUUUCUGCUAAAGAAACCUUUUGUCAGUCCUAGAAACACUGAUGAAUAAGGGGUGGGCAAGUUCUGGUGU
rnacentral:rRNA from 1 species